AAGCAGUGAUGUUAUAAAUAUUUGCUAUCUGAAACAGUGAUGGAAAAAAUCUACCACCUAGAUCUCUGAGCUU
rfam:Biomphalaria glabrata isolate BB02 unplaced genomic scaffold LGTN_random_Scaffold114, whole genome shotgun sequence.